rnacentral:rRNA from 1 species
GGGUUGUGAGGUUAAGCGACUAAGCGUACACGGUGGAUGCCCUGGCAGUCAGAGGCGAUGAAGGACGUGCUAAUCUGCGAUAAGCGUCGGUAAGGUGAUAUGAACCGUUAUAACCGGCGAUUUCCGAAUGNUCGGUAAGGUGAUAUGAACCGUUAUAACCGGCGAUUUCCGAAUGGGGAAACCCAGUGUGUUUCGACACACUAUCAUUAACUGAAUCCAUAGGUUAAUGAGGCGAACCGGGGGAACUGAAACAUCUAAGUACCCCGAGGAAAAGAAAUCAACCGAGAUUCCCCCAGUAGCGGCGAGCGAACGGGGAGCAGCCCAGAGCCUGAAUCAGUGUGUGUGUUAGUGGAAGCGUCUGGAAAGGCGCGCGAUACAGGGUGACAGCCCCGUACACAAAAAUGCACAUGCUGUGAGCUCGAUGAGUAGGGCGGGACACGUGGUAUCCUGUCUGAAUAUGGGGGGACCAUCCUCCAAGGCUAAAUACUCCUGACUGACCGAUAGUGAACCAGUACCGUGAGGGAAAGGCGAAAAGAACCCCGGCGAGGGGAGUGAAAAAGAACCUGAAACCGUGUACGUACAAGCAGUGGGAGCACGCUUAGGCGUGUGACUGCGUACCUUUUGUAUAAUGGGUCAGCGACUUAUAUUCUGUAGCAAGGUUAACCGAAUAGGGGAGCCGAAGGGAAACCGAGUCUUAACUGGGCGUUAAGUUGCAGGGUAUAGACCCGAAACCCGGUGAUCUAGCCAUGGGCAGGUUGAAGGUUGGGUAACACUAACUGGAGGACCGAACCGACUAAUGUUGAAAAAUUAGCGGAUGACUUGUGGCUGGGGGUGAAAGGCCAAUCAAACCGGGAGAUAGCUGGUUCUCCCCGAAAGCUAUUUAGGUAGCGCCUCGUGAAUUCAUCUCCGGGGGUAGAGCACUGUUUCGGCAAGGGGGUCAUCCCGACUUACCAACCCGAUGCAAACUGCGAAUACCGGAGAAUGUUAUCACGGGAGACACACGGCGGGUGCUAACGUCCGUCGUGAAGAGGGAAACAACCCAGACCGCCAGCUAAGGUCCCAAAGUCAUGGUUAAGUGGGAAACGAUGUGGGAAGGCCCAGACAGCCAGGAUGUUGGCUUAGAAGCAGCCAUCAUUUAAAGAAAGCGUAAUAGCUCACUGGUCGAGUCGGCCUGCGCGGAAGAUGUAACGGGGCUAAACCAUGCACCGAAGCUGCGGCAGCGACGCUUAUGCGUUGUUGGGUAGGGGAGCGUUCUGUAAGCCUGCGAAGGUGUGCUGUGAGGCAUGCUGGAGGUAUCAGAAGUGCGAAUGCUGACAUAAGUAACGAUAAAGCGGGUGAAAAGCCCGCUCGCCGGAAGACCAAGGGUUCCUGUCCAACGUUAAUCGGGGCAGGGUGAGUCGACCCCUAAGGCGAGGCCGAAAGGCGUAGUCGAUGGGAAACAGGUUAAUAUUCCUGUACUUGGUGUUACUGCGAAGGGGGGACGGAGAAGGCUAUGUUGGCCGGGCGACGGUUGUCCCGGUUUAAGCGUGUAGGCUGGUUUUCCAGGCAAAUCCGGAAAAUCAAGGCUGAGGCGUGAUGACGAGGCACUACGGUGCUGAAGCAACAAAUGCCCUGCUUCCAGGAAAAGCCUCUAAGCAUCAGGUAACAUCAAAUCGUACCCCAAACCGACACAGGUGGUCAGGUAGAGAAUACCAAGGCGCUUGAGAGAACUCGGGUGAAGGAACUAGGCAAAAUGGUGCCGUAACUUCGGGAGAAGGCACGCUGAUAUGUAGGUGAAGUCCCUCGCGGAUGGAGCUGAAAUCAGUCGAAGAUACCAGCUGGCUGCAACUGUUUAUUAAAAACACAGCACUGUGCAAACACGAAAGUGGACGUAUACGGUGUGACGCCUGCCCGGUGCCGGAAGGUUAAUUGAUGGGGUCACCGCAAGCGAAGCUCUUGAUCGAAGCCCCGGUAAACGGCGGCCGUAACUAUAACGGUCCUAAGGUAGCGAAAUUCCUUGUCGGGUAAGUUCCGACCUGCACGAAUGGCGUAAUGAUGGCCAGGCUGUCUCCACCCGAGACUCAGUGAAAUUGAACUCGCUGUGAAGAUGCAGUGUACCCGCGGCAAGACGGAAAGACCCCGUGAACCUUUACUAUAGCUUGACACUGAACAUUGAGCCUUGAUGUGUAGGAUAGGUGGGAGGCUUUGAAGUGUGGACGCCAGUCUGCAUGGAGCCGACCUUGAAAUACCACCCUUUAAUGUUUGAUGUUCUAACGUUGACCCGUAAUCCGGGUUGCGGACAGUGUCUGGUGGGUAGUUUGACUGGGGCGGUCUCCUCCUAAAGAGUAACGGAGGAGCACGAAGGUUGGCUAAUCCUGGUCGGACAUCAGGAGGUUAGUGCAAUGGCAUAAGCCAGCUUGACUGCGAGCGUGACGGCGCGAGCAGGUGCGAAAGCAGGUCAUAGUGAUCCGGUGGUUCUGAAUGGAAGGGCCAUCGCUCAACGGAUAAAAGGUACUCCGGGGAUAACAGGCUGAUACCGCCCAAGAGUUCAUAUCGACGGCGGUGUUUGGCACCUCGAUGUCGGCUCAUCACAUCCUGGGGCUGAAGUAGGUCCCAAGGGUAUGGCUGUUCGCCAUUUAAAGUGGUACGCGAGCUGGGUUUAGAACGUCGUGAGACAGUUCGGUCCCUAUCUGCCGUGGGCGCUGGAGAA